GACGAACGCUGGCGGCGUGCUUAACACAUGCAAGUCGAACGGAAAGGCCCUGCUUUUGUGGGGUGCUCGAGUGGCGAACGGGUGAGUAACACGUGAGUAACCUGCCCUUGACUUUGGGAUAACUUCAGGAAACUGGGGCUAAUACCGGAUAGGAGCUCCUGCUGCAUGGUGGGGGUUGGAAAGUUUCGGCGGUUGGGGAUGGACUAGCGGCUUAUCAGCUUGUUGGUGGGGUAGUGGCUUACCAAGGCUUUGACGGGUAGCCGGCCUGAGAGGGUGACCGGCCACAUGGGGACUGAGAUACGGCGCAGACUCCUACGGGAGGCAGCAGUGGGGAAUAUGGCGCAAUGGGCGGAAGCCUGAUGCAGCAACGCCGCGUGCGGGAUGACGGCCUUCGGGGUGUAAACCGCUUUCGCCUGUGACGAAGCGUGAGUGACGGUAAUGGGUAAAGAAGCACCGGCUAACUACGUG
rnacentral:rRNA from 1 species